rnacentral:rRNA from 1 species
UACAGAGACUGCAAGCGUUAUUCGGAUUCACUGGGCGUAAAGGGUGCGCAGGCGGCCUAGUGUGUGCGGCGUGAAAGCCCGGGGCUUAACCCCGGGAUUGCAGCUCAAACUACAUGGCUAGAGCAUUGGAGAGGGUAGCAGAAUUCAUGGUGUAGCAGUGAAAUGCGCAGAUAUCAGGAGGAACACCGGUGGCGAAGGCGGGUCUCUGGGCCGCAACUGACGCUGAGGAGCGAAAGCAUGGGGAGCGAACAGG